CACAUCAGCUCGAGUGAGGAUACGCGCUAAACUUAAACAUAUCAGUCGGCGCAGCAAUAGAAACUAACCAGGAUUCCUUUAGUAACGGCGAGUGAAGUAGGAAAUAUACUCGUUAAGCCCAACGAUAAAAUCCAUUCCUUGCUGGCUAGGCUUCUGUCUUCCAGCUGGAAGGAAAUGUAGCAUCGUAAUAAUAAUACACACACAUUCUAUCUAAAUAUAUCUAUGUUGUAUCUCUUAGAACGUAAAAGUUCAGCAGGUAAACUUAACAUUCAUUGCAACACAUAAAACACAUACUUUACCCAAACACACAGCGUUUAGCGCUGGAAAGCAAGUCUAUAUCAUGCCAUAGAGUGUGACAGCCACGUUUGCCUUUGGUAAACUCACUUUACACGCAAUGUAAUGUCUGCUAUAUGCUCUUUUACAAGAUACGUAAUGCAUAUGAUAAGAUAUUAAAACACUUUAAACCUGAGUCGAGUUGUUUGGGACUACAGCUCAAAUUGUUUGGUGGUGGUAAUGACACAUCAAAGGCUAAAUAUUGGUGUUUAAUACGAUUGCAACGGAGACCGAUAGCAAACAAGUACCGUAAGGGAACGAUGAAAAGCACCCUUUUUAGCACGUGCAACACUCUGUGUACGCACAAGCUCCAUCGGGAGUGAAAGAGAGAGU
rnacentral:rRNA from 1 species